rnacentral:rRNA from 1 species
UUUGAUCCUGGCUCAGGAUGAACGCUAGCGACAGGCCUAACACAUGCAAGUCGAGGGGCAGCAUAAAGGUAGCAAUACUUUGGUGGCGACCGGCGCACGGGUGAGUAACACGUAUGCAACCUACCUGUAAGUGGGGAAUAACCCGGAGAAAUUCGGACUAACACCGCAUAAUACCAACACACUGCAUGGUGAGUUGGUUAAAUAUUAAUAGCUUACAGAUGGGCAUGCGUAUGAUUAGAUAGUUGGUAGGGUCACGGCCUACCAAGUCAACGAUCAUUAGGGGUUCUGAGAGGAAGGUCCCCCACACUGGUACUGAGACACGGACCAGACUCCUACGGGAGGCAGCAGUGAGGAAUAUUGGUCAAUGGGCGAGAGCCUGAACCAGCCAAGUCGCGUGAAGGAAGAAGGUUCUAUGGAUUGUAAACUUCUUUUGUAAGGGAAUAAAAAGUGGUACGUGUACCAUAUUGUAUGUACUUUACGAAUAAGGAUCGGCUAACUCCGUGCCAGCAGCCGCGGUAAUACGGAGGAUCCAAGCGUUAUCCGGAUUUAUUGGGUUUAAAGGGUGCGUAGGCGGACCCUUAAGUCAGUGGUGAAAGUUUGCGGCUCAACCGUAAAAUUGCCAUUGAAACUGAGGGUCUUGAGUGUAAAUGAGGUAGGCGGAAUGUGUUGUGUAGCGGUGAAAUGCUUAGAUAUAACACAGAACACCAAUUGCGAAGGCAGCUUACUGGGAUACGACUGACGCUGAGGCACGAAAGCGUGGGGAUCAAACAGGAUUAGAUACCCUGGUAGUCCACGCAGUAAACGAUGAAUACUAACUGUAUGCGAUAUACUGUAUGUGGUAAAGCGAAAGCGUUAAGUAUUCCACCUGGGGAGUACGUUCGCAAGAAUGAAACUCAAGGAAUUGACGGGGGCCCGCACAAGCGGAGGAACAUGUGGUUUAAUUCGAUGAUACGCGAGGAACCUUACCCG